AUUUAUGUCUAAAUACUCUAAAAGCAUGAAAUUCUGUCUGAUCUUGAAUGCUAGGUGGAGUUGGUCUUGGUUAGUACUUGGAUGGGAAACUGCACAUGAAUAACAGGUGCCAUUGGUU
rnacentral:rRNA from 1 species